rnacentral:rRNA from 1 species
GACGAACGCUGGCGGCGUGCCUAACACAUGCAAGUCGAACGGAAAGGCCCUGCUUUUGUGGGGCGCUCGAGUGGCGAACGGGUGAGUAACACGUGAGUAACCUGCACUUGACUUUGGGAUAACUUCAGGAAACUGGGGCUAAUACCGGAUAGGAGCUCCUGCUGCAUGGUGUGGGUUGGAAAGUUUCGGCGGUUGGGGAUGGACUCGCGGCUUAUGAGCUUGUUGGUGGGGUAGUGGCUUACCAAGGGUUUGACGGGUAGCCCACCUGAGAGGGUGAACGGCGACAAGAGGACUGAGGUACGGACCAGAAUGCUAUGGGAGGCAACAGUGGAGAGUAUGACACAGUGGGGCGGAGCCAGAUGCAGAAACGCCGCGUGCGGAAUAACGGGCUUCGGGUUAUGAACAGCUUUGGCAUGUAACGAAGCGUGAGUGACGGUAAUGGAUAAGAAAGCACCGGCUAACUACGUG